CGAAGAAGUUUUGCUGUGAAUUGAUCGGAUCACAUCCUAUGAUUCCAAACGUUAUCAAAGUACGGAUUCCAGAACAGCUUAGAUGGAUUGCACCGGGAUGCUCUGCAGAAACAGCUCUAUCUGCUACAUUUUAAAAUUCUUAGGUUUGAGGACUACAUCAUGAGCAGUAAUGAGGAAGAUGACAGAGCAAAAACACCACCAAAAAAGAAGCAAAGUAUAUGUGUAUAUAUCUAUCAAAGUGGGAUUGGUGGAUUGGACCAGUGCAGUGUAAUAAAUUCAAGGUAAACUG